rnacentral:rRNA from 1 species
UACGUAGGGUGCGAGCGUUGUCCGGAAUUAUUGGGCGUAAAGAGCUCGUAGGCGGUUUGUCGCGUCGACUGUGAAAACCCGAGGCUUAACCUCGGGCCUGCAAUCGAUACGGGCAGACUAGAGUGAUGUAGGGGAGACUGGAAUUCCUGGUGUAGCGGUGAAAUGCGCAGAUAUCAGGAGGAACACCAGUGGCGAAGGCGGCUUCCUGGACACCAACUGACGCUGAGACGCGAAAGCGUGGGAGCAAACAGG